rnacentral:rRNA from 1 species
CCUACGGGAGGCAGCAGUAGGGAAUCUUCCACAAUGGGCGAAAGCCUGAUGGAGCAACGCCGCGUGGGUGAAGAAGGUCUUCGGAUCGUAAAACCCUGUUGUUAGAGAAGAAAGUACGGGAGAGUAACUGUUCACGUUUCGACGGUAUCUGACCAGAAAGCCACGGCUAACUCCGUGCCAGCAGCCGCGGUAAUACGGAGGUGGCAAGCGUUAUCCGGAGUUAUUGGGCGUAAAGGGAACGCAGGCGGUCUUUUAAGUCUGAUGUGAAAUCCUUCGGCUUAACCGGAGUAGUGCAUUGGAAACUGGGAGACUUGAGUGCAGAAGAGGAGAGUAGAACUCCAGGUGUAGCGGUGAAAUGCGUAGAUAUUAGGAGGAACACCAGUGGCGAAGGCGGGUUGCUAGACUGUAACUGACACUGAGGCACGAAAGCGUGGGGAGCAAACAGGAUUAGAUACCCCAGUAGUC